rnacentral:sRNA from 1 species
AUAUAGUUUAUAUAGGUAGAAGCAAUUUAGUGGGAAAAAAGAAGAAGAAAAAAAGCUAUUUUGAU